rnacentral:rRNA from 1 species
GCGCGGUGGUCCCACCUGACCCCAUGCCGAACUCAGAAGUGAAACGCCGUAGCGCCGAUGGUAGUGUGGGGUCUCCCCAUGUGAGAGUAGGG